UAGACCGAUAGCGAACAAGUAGAGUGAUCGAAAGAUGAAAAGCACUUUGAAAAGAGGGUUAAAUAGCACGUGAAAUUGUUGAAAGGGAAGCGCUUGUGACCAGACUUGCGCCGGGCGGAUCAUCCGGUGUUCUCACCGGUGCACUCCGCCCGGCUCAGGCCAGCAUCGGUUCUCGCGGGGGGAUAAAGGUCCUGGGAACGUAGCUCCUCCGGGAGUGUUAUAGCCCGGGGCGUAAUGCCCUCGCGGGGACCGAGGUUCGCGCAUCUGCAAGGAUGCUGGCGUAAUGGUCAUCAGCGACCCGUCUUGAAACACGGACCAAGACCGUG
rnacentral:rRNA from 1 species